UAUGCUUGUUAUAGUGUGUGUGUGUU
rnacentral:piRNA from 1 species